rnacentral:tRNA from 1 species
GAGGUUAUAGCUCAGUGGUAGAGUGCAUGCUUAGCAUGCACGAGGUCCUGGGUUCAAUCUCCAGUACCUCCA